rnacentral:lncRNA from 1 species
UCCAUAUAUACUGUGGAGGCCAAGUGACUUCCUAAAAGAAAGAUGAAAUUGUAGCCACUAACAUAAUCUAGGGUUCAUGGCUUUAAAUGAGAACAAAAUAAUAAUAAGGAACAGUUAUUGAUCUCUUACUGUAUGCCUGGCUCUUGGUUAAAUUAUGUGCAUUAUCUGAUUUAAUCUUCAUGUGAGAAUCACAAAGAUCCUUAUAAGAGGGACACAGGAAUCAUCAGAGCCAGAAGAGGAGGGAGUGUGAUAACAGAAGCAGAGAAUGGAGUGACACACUUAAAGCUCAUGCCAUUUGGAUCCCAAAGCCUUGGGCUGCAGAAGUAGGCCUUAACUUUUUGAACCUGAUGUUGAUCUGGCUUUGGAAAUGCAGCUGCCUCCUGAUGAAGCUGCCGCACUCUCCAUCAGGUGAAUUAGCUUGCUUUUCCUCUCCUCCUCUCUCCCUUGGCCUGUAG